rnacentral:misc_RNA from 1 species
CUUUCUGAUUGGAUUAUAAUUCGACUAUAAGAUUUACGCUCACAGAUAAGACCAGAGAAAGAGUGAGUAAAAUAUAAUCACUCAAAACUAUCAAACUCUUACCCUAGUGUGUUUUCCAAAUAUACCACAAAGGACAAAAUAAUAUUAGUUUAUACUAGUUCAUAUUGCGCUCUCCGCUACUGCAGAGCAUACUUUUUAUUUCAAUUAGGUCACAAGG